AGCCAUGCAUGUCUAAGUCCAAGCUGUGUUCACACGGCGAGACCGCGGACGGCUCAUUAAAUCAGUCGUGGUCCAAAUGGGCCAGUGCAAAUCCUACUUGGAUAACUGUGGUAAUUCCAGAGCUAAUACAUGCAACUGAUAUCCCGAAGGCGGUGUUGGGGCUUGCUUGCCUUGCGCUGCGCUGCUCUGACGGAUGCUUUUAUUAGACCAAGCCGCUGAGGACUUGAGGGUUCGCGCUCUCUUGUUUGACUCGUGUGAUGGUGACUCUGGAUAACCAAAUUCUGACAAGCGCACGUACUUCUCUUCUGAGCGAGACGGCGCUGCCACUUUCGAGUGUCUGCCUUAUCAGCUAUCAACCGUUCGUUAUGCGCGACCGAUGGCUUUGACGGGUAACGGGGAAUCAGGGUUCGAUUCCGGAGAGGCAGCCUGAGAGACGGCUACCACGUCCAAGGACGGCAGCAGGCACGCAAAUUACCCAAUCCCAGCAAAUGGGGGAGGUAGUGACGAAAUCUAACGAUGCGGGCGCCCUUUCUGGGGCCCCGCAAUCGGAAUGGGCACUUUCUAAACAA
rnacentral:rRNA from 1 species